AUCCCAUGAUAAGGACACUUACGAAAUAAUUCCUUGAAUCUUUCCCAAGCCUCAUACAAAGACUCAUCAUCCAAUUGUCGAAAUGCAAUUAUCUCAUUACGUAAUUUU
rfam:Gossypium raimondii chromosome 5, whole genome shotgun sequence.